rnacentral:rRNA from 1 species
CAAUAGCGUAUAUUAAAGUUGUUGCAGUUAAAAAGCUCGUAGUCGGAUUUGUGGCGUACGGUGUGUUCCGGGCACUUGUUGUCUGAGUAACCUGCUGUUGCCAUCCUUGGGUGGAACCUGUGUGGCAUUAGGUUGUCGUGCAGGGGAUGCCCAUCAUUUACUGUGAAAAAAUUAGAGUGUUCAAAGCAGGCUUAUGCCGUUGAAUAUAUUAGCAUGGAAUAAUGAGAUAGGACUUUUUUGCUAUUUUGUUGGUUUGCGCAAAGAGGUAAUGAUUAAUAGGGACAGUUGGGGGUAUUCGUAUUCCAUUGUCAGAGGUGAAAUUCUUGGAUUUUUGGAAGACGAACUACUGCGAAAGCAUUUACCAAGGAUGUUUUCAUUAA